CACGUAGGGGGCAAGCGUUGUCCGGAUUUAUUGGGCGUAAAGAGCUCGUAGGCGGUUCGGUAAGUCGGGUGUGAAACCUCCAGGCUCAACCUGGAGACGCCACCCGAUACUGCUGUGACUAGAGUCCGGUAGGGGAGCGUGGAAUUCCUGGUGUAGCGGUGAAAUGCGCAGAUAAUCAGGAGAAACACCAGCGGCGAAGGCGGCGCUCUGGGCCGGAACUGACGCUGAGGAGCGAAAGCGUGGGAGCAAACAGG
rnacentral:rRNA from 1 species